AACAAACAAAAAAUGUCAAAUUCUCUUAAUUUUAUUAGUUAUGCAAAAAGUUAAUUUUUGCAAAAAAUAAAAUAACUACAACAAAUCAUGCUUUUUGAAAAUAACAUAAGUAUUUAUACCUAUGCACAAAAGAUGAAGAGACAAGAUAAUGGAAAGAGAAAUUGCACAUAUAAGAUAUGAAAAAAUCUAUUCUCACAUUCAACCGAAAAAACAAAUGGUAAUCUUGUUAAGCCCAUUAUUGAGUAUCAGGGGAUGAAAAUAUUUGUUUCUAACAUUCGUAAUGGUUAGGAAAAUAUGAAGAUGAUACAAAUUAAAACAAUUGUAACCUGUAUAUUAAAAUAUUGGUAGAAGA
rnacentral:lncRNA from 1 species